AUUGAACGCUGGCGGCAUGCUUUACACAUGCAAGUCGAACGGCAGCGCGGGGCAACCUGGCGGCGAGUGGCGAACGGGUGAGUAAUAUAUCGGAACGUACCCAGAAGUGGGGGAUAACGUAGCGAAAGUUACGCUAAUACCGCAUACGAUCUACGGAUGAAAGUGGGGGACCUUCGGGCCUCAUGCUUGUGGAGCGGCCGAUAUCUGAUUAGCUAGUUGGUAGGGUAAAGGCCUACCAAGGCGACGAUCAGUAGCUGGUCUGAGAGGACGACCAGCCACACUGGGACUGAGACACGGCCCAGACUCCUACGGGAGGCAGCAGUGGGGAAUUUUGGACAAUGGGGGAAACCCUGAUCCAGCAACGCUGCGUGAGGGAUGAAGGUCUUCGGAUCGUAAACCUCUUUUCUAGGGGACGAAUACCCGCAAGGGCUUGACGGUACCGUAAGAAUAAGCACCGGCUAACUACGUGCCAGCCGCCGCCGUAA
rnacentral:rRNA from 1 species